GUCGAGCGGUAGCAGGUCCUUCGGGAUGCUGACGAGCGGCGGACGGGUGAGUAAUGCAUAGGAAUCUGCCCGGUAGUGGGGGAUAACCUGGGGAAACCCAGGCUAAUACCGCAUACGUCCUACGGGAGAAAGGGGGCUCCGGCUCCCGCUAUUGGAUGAGCCUAUGUCGGAUUAGCUAGUUGGUGAGGUAAUGGCUCACCAAGGCAACGAUCCGUAGCUGGUCUGAGAGGAUGAUCAGCCACAUCGGGACUGAGACACGGCCCGAACUCCUACGGGAGGCAGCAGUGGGGAAUAUUGGACAAUGGGGGCAACCCUGAUCCAGCCAUGCCGCGUGUGUGAAGAAGGCCCUCGGGUUGUAAAGCACUUUCAGCGAGGAAGAACGCCUAGCGGUUAAUACCCGCUAGGAAAGACAUCACUCGCAGAAGAAGCACCGGCUAACUCCGUGCCAGCAGCCGCGGUAAUACGGAGGGUGCAAGCGUUAAUCGGAAUUACUGGGCGUAAAGCGCGCGUAGGUGGCUUGAUAAGCCGGUUGUGAAAGCCCCGGGCUCAACCUGGGAACGGCAUCCGGAACUGUCAGGCUAGAGUGCAGGAGAGGAA
rnacentral:rRNA from 2 species